UCACCAGGUGGGAUAAUCCUUACUUGUUCCUCUUUUUGGAGGACAGAUUAGAGCAUAAUGAUAGGAGUUCUCAUGAAAUGUGAUUAACGUCUCUGCAUAAUCAGGACUUGCAACAUCCUAAUUGCUCCUAUCUGAU
rnacentral:snoRNA from 1 species